CACGUAGGGGCCAAGCGUUGUCCGGAUUUAUUGGGCGUAAAGAGCGUGUAGGCGGCUGGGUAGGUCCGUUGUGAAAACUCGAGGCUCAACCUCGAGACGCCGAUGGAAACCCUCCAGCUAGAGUCCGGAAGAGGAGAGUGGAAUUCCUGGUGUAGCGGUGAAAUGCGCAGAUAUCAGGAGGAACACCGGUGGCGAAGGCGGGUCUCUGGGCCAUAACUGACGCUGAGGAGCGAAAGCGUGGGGAGCGAACAGG
rnacentral:rRNA from 1 species